rnacentral:misc_RNA from 1 species
AAGUCGUAACAAGGUAACCGUAGGUGAACCUGCGGUUGGAUCAUUAACAAUGGUUUUCAAACCUUUUAUCUGUGCACCCUAUUGUUCUUGGUGGUUUCUUUCUCUUUUAGAGGAAAAGACCACCAACAUUUUUAAACCAUGUAUUGUAUCGAGUCUUGAAAAUUUGUAUUAAAAUGAAAAACUUUUGACAACGGAUCUCUUGGCUCUC